rnacentral:misc_RNA from 1 species
GAUGAAGAACGCAGCGAAAUGCGAUACUUGGUGUGAAUUGCAGAAUCCCGUGAACCAUCGAGUCUUUGAACGCAAGUUGCGCCCGAAGCCAUUAGGCCGAGGGCACGCCUGCCUGGGCGUCACACGUCGUUGCCCCCCCAUCUACUCCUUCGGGAUUGCGGGGGGCGGAUGAUGGCCUCCCGUGCGCCUCGUCGCGCGGUUGGCAUAAAUGCCAAGUCCUCGGCGACGCACGCCACGACAAUCGGUGGUUGCGAAACCUCGGUUGCCCGUCGUGUGCGGUCGUCGCGCAUCGAGGGCUCGAAAAAAUUGUCGGGCUCCGGCUCGGCUUUCAACGCGACCCCAGGUCAGGCGGGGUUACCCGCUGAAUUUAAGCAUAUCAAUACGGAGGA